GACGAACGCUGGCGGCGUGCUUAACACAUGCAAGUGGAGCGACGAACCGGGCUUCGGCCCGGGGCAGAGCCGCGAACGGGUGAGUAACACGUGGGAACGUACCUUUCGGUUCGGGAUAACCCAGGGAAACUUGGGCUAAUACCGGAUACGUCCUUUGGGAGAAAGAUUCAUUGCCGAAAGAUCGGCCCGCGUCUGAUUAGCUAGUUGGUGGGGUAAUGGCCCACCAAGGCGACGAUCAGUAGCUGGUCUGAGAGGAUGAUCAGCCACACUGGGACUGAGACACGGCCCAGACUCCUACGGGAGGCAGCAGUGGGGAAUAUUGGACAAUGGGCGGCAAGCCUGAUCCAGCCAUGCCGCGUGAGUGAUGAAGGCCCUAGGGUU
rnacentral:rRNA from 1 species